rnacentral:rRNA from 1 species
CCUAAUACAUGCAAGUCGAGCGGUUCCUUCGGGAACAGCGGCGGACGGGUGAGUAACGCGUGGGAACGUGCCCUUUGGUACGGAACAACUGAGGGAAACUUCAGCUAAUACCGUAUGUGCCCUUCGGGGGAAAGAUUUAUCGCCAUUGGAGCGGCCCGCGUUGGAUUAGGUAGUUGGUGAGGUAAAGGCUCACCAAGCCUACGAUCCAUAGCUGGUCUGAGAGGAUGAUCAGCCACACUGGGACUGAGACACGGCCCAGACUCCUACGGGAGGCAGCAGUAGGGAAUCUUGCGCAAUGGGCGAAAGCCUGACGCAGCCAUGCCGCGUGAAUGAUGAAGGUCUUAGGAUUGUAAAAUUCUUUCACCGGGGACGAUAAUGACGGUACCCGGAGAAGAAGCCCCGG